GGUUGUGUGGUGUAAUGGUAGCACGUAUCGUUGUGGACUUCAACUUUGUUUGGCCUCAACGGUCCCGAUACAAUCGCGGUUCGAUUCCGUGCACAGCCA